rnacentral:rRNA from 1 species
UAAGACAGAGGUUGCAAACGUUGUUCGGAAUUACUGGGCAUAAAGCGCACGUAGGCGGUUCGUUAAGUCAUGUGUGAAAUCCCCCGGCUCAACCGGGGAAUUGCGCCUGAUACUGGCGAGCUAGAGAUCGAUAGGGGUAAGCGGAACUCCAGGUGGAGCGGUGAAAUGCGUAGAUAUCUGGAGGAACACCGGUGGCGAAAGCGGCUUACUGGAUCGAAACUGACGCUGAGGUGCGAAAGCUAGGGUAGCAAACGGG